rnacentral:rRNA from 1 species
CCUACGGGAGGCAGCAGUGGGGAAUUUUGGACAAUGGGCGCAAGCCUGAUCCAGCAAUGCCGCGUGCAGGAUGAAGGCCUUCGGGUUGUAAACUGCUUUUGUACGGAACGAAACGGUGAGCUCUAAUACAGUUUGCUAAUGACGGUACCGUAAGAAUAAGCACCGGCUAACUACGUGCCAGCAGCCGCGGUAAUACGUAGGGUGCGAGCGUUAAUCGGAAUUACUGGGCGUAAAGCGUGCGCAGGCGGUGAUGUAAGACAGAUGUGAAAUGCCCGGGCUCAACCUGGGACCUGCAUUUGUGACUGCAUCGCUAGAGUACGGUAGAGGGGGAUGGAAUUCCGCGUGUAGCAGUGAAAUGCGUAGAUAUGCGGAGGAACACCGAUGGCGAAGGCAAUCCCCUGGACCUGUACUGACGCUCAUGCACGAAAGCGUGGGGAGCAAACAGGAUUAGAUACCCUGGUAGUCCACGCCCUAAACGAUGUCAACUGGUUGUUGGGUCUUCACUGACUCAGUAACGAAGCUAACGCGUGAAGUUGACCGCCUGGGGAGUACGGCCGCAGGUUGAAACUCAAAUGAAUUGACGG